GACGAACCGUGCGAGCGUUGUUCGGAAUCACUGGGCAUAAAGGGCGCGUAGGCGGCCUGUUAAGUCGAACGUGAAAUCCCCGGGCUCAACCCGGGAACUGCGUCCGAUACUGGCAGGCUUGAAUUCGGGAGAGGGAUGUGGAAUUCCAGGUGUAGCGGUGAAAUGCGUAGAUAUCUGGAGGAACACCGGUGGCGAAGGCGGCAUCCUGGACCGACACUGACACUGAGGAGCGAAAGCCAGGGGAGCAAACGGG
rnacentral:rRNA from 1 species